rnacentral:misc_RNA from 1 species
GCUUAGGCCUCAAAAAUCCGCCAAAAUUCUACACCAACAAACUUUAAUCAGCCCCGAGAUUUCGCUCCAGUUCGCAACGGCGACCACAAUGCCCUACAACGGCGCUAGUAAUGGCAGUGGCGCCAGUGGCGCCGGCGGAGGAGGGGCCACCAUAGUCGUCACCGAGGGGCCGCAAAACAAAAAGAUCCGCACCGGAGUCCAGCAGCCCGGGGAGAACGAUGUGCACAUGCAUGCUAGGUCCACACCACAACAGAACCAGCAGCAAGCACUUAUGAACAAGUCAAAUGACGACCUACGGAGAAAGCGUCCCGAGACUACACGGCCAAAUCACAUUCUUCUCUUCACCAUCAUAAAUCCCUUCUAUCCCAUCACAGUUGAUGUCUUGCACAAAAUCUGUCAUCCACAUGGCCCAGUGCUGCGCAUUGUCAUAUUCAAAAAGAAUGGGGUCCAGGCCAUGGUCGAGUUCGAUAAUCUGGAUGCGGCCACUAGGGCUCGCGAGAAUCUGAAUGGAGCCGACAUUUAUGCCGGAUGCUGCACUCUGAAAAUCGAUUAUGCCAAGCCGGAGAAAUUGAACGUGUACAAGAAUGAGCCCGAUACCAGCUGGGACUAUACGCUGAGCACAGGAGAGAUGCAAAGCACUGUUGUUGUUGCACUUGAUGAUGCAGCCGAGGAGCGAGCGGAAAAGUGGGAAAAUUCGACGGAAAAGCGGAUACUACGGAUGCUACGGAUGAUACAACGGCCAGAAAUGGAACUGGACCAUCCCAGCGCCGCAACGAGAGUGGAGCUAAGAAGCUCCAAGAUUCAAAAGAUACCUGCAUCACAGAUACUACCGGCACUAAUACUACUGCUAAUGCUAUUAGUACAACUGCCCAUACAGCCCCAGCAAUUAGUUGUCGUUAUAAAGCGAAGUCGUAUUUGAACAGAUCCUUGAAAUGUUGUUUGAGUGCCACACACAAGACUGAGUUGCAAGUGGCAAGCAAAGCGAAAGUUUUUGAAUUGAAUUGCAUAAAACUGAAACAUACAUAUAUCGGAAUAUAUAUAUCCGGAGCUAUACAUUCGAGCGAGUAUGUUGCCAAUUGUGGUUGUUGCUGUGCCUGAUGUGUUACAUAACCCAAGAAAAUCCGACGAAACGCGUUUGAAAAACGAAAGAGAACGAAACACAUAGAACUGCUUGUUUGGAUCUCAUGUAUAAUAUGUGCAUAUACUUUUUGUUCGAUUUACCAUACCAUGAACCACAGCUUUCAAUUCCAAAUUGAAGUUUAUUUAAUUUACAGUUUUAUAAUUAUGGAACAUGAUAUAAAAAUGAACUAAACAAACACCGUCUAGUUAAACAUUUACCAUUGGGAUCUGUUCAAAGUUGUAGUCAUUAUUAUCGCCACUGAUUUUGGGGCCUGUAGAGAGAGUUGUAUGAACGCUGAUGGUAUUAGUCGGUCGGUAUCGCUUUCGGUAUCGGAAUCAGUAUGGGUAUCUGUAUCCGUAUCGGUACCAUAUUGAAUGUAGUUCCCACCGCCAGGCACCGAAACAUCGCUUUUUUUCUGGUGCCCGGCCGGUCUCAGGGAAGUGGUGGUAUAUUGGACAUGAGAGGCGAUUCGUCGACUACACAGCGACUGUGCCGGAGAGCCACCGCUAUUGGGACCCGGAGCCGCUUUCCCACCAUUCGGUGCCCCCGAAUAUCACACCACCACACCGGAGAACUGGAA